GAUGAAGAACGUAGUGAAAUGCGAUAAGUAGUGUGAAUUGCAGAAUUCAGUGAAUCAUCGAGUCUUUGAACGCACAUUGCGCCCCUUGGUAUUCCAUGGGGCAUGCCUGUUCGAGCGUCAUUUGUACCUUCAAGCUUUGCUUGGUGUUGGGUGUUUGUCCCUCGGGACUCGCCUUAAAGUCAUUGGCAGCCAGUGUUUUGGUUUUGAAGCGCAGCACAAGUCGCGAUUCAAGGCUAUCCGCCCGCUUCCACAAGCCUUUUUCACUUUUGACCUCGGAUCAGGUAGGGAUACCCGCUGAACUUAAGCAUAUCAAUAAGCGGAGGA
rnacentral:misc_RNA from 1 species